AAGGGAAGGGAUUUCAAAGCAACAUUGCAUUUGGAGCUAAAGUGUACUUUCUGUGACAAAGAUGCUAGAUCAUAAGAAGAAAGAUCCUACGUGGGCUCAACUUCUUCAUGUUCAAUGAAUUGUGAUGGGUUCUUGACAUCAUUUUUUGGACAGCAAACUGUAGCAGCUUUACUUUUUGACAGUUUUCGUAAAUUAUAAGACUCAUGUCAUCUAUUCAAGAACAAAAGAAACAGUUAUCAGAGUGAAGAGGAAACCUACAGAAUGGGAGAAAUCUUUGUAAACAACUCAUCUGAUAAAUUAUUAGUAUACAGCAUCUAUAAAGACUCAAAUGACUUAAAUGCGAAAAUGUAUACUUGAAGACUAACUGCCUGACAAGACUGAAAGGAACACUUGGCAAACACCCAAAGGCUUAAUCUUACCCAAUAUAGAAGUCACCCAGAUUAUGGAUCUGCAGAAUUCCCAAGGAAGAGAACCAAAUACAGAAUACAGAUAAAAAGAUUUUAUCUUAUUAAUAU
rnacentral:lncRNA from 1 species